AGUGAACGCUGGCGGUAGGCUUAACACAUGCAAGUCGAACGGCAGCACAGGAGAGCUUGCUCUCUGGGUGGCGAGUGGCGGACGGGUGAGGAAUACAUCGGAAUCUACUCUGUCGUGGGGGAUAACGUAGGGAAACUUACGCUAAUACCGCAUACGACCUACGGGUGAAAGCAGGGGACCUUCGGGCCUUGCGCGAUUGAAUGAGCCGAUGUCGGAUUAGCUAGUUGGCGGGGUAAAGGCCCACCAAGGCGACGAUCCGUAGCUGGUCUGAGAGGAUGAUCAGCCACACUGGAACGGAGACACGGUCCAGACUCCUACGGGAGGCAGCAGUGGGGAAUAUUGUACAAUGGGCGCAAGCCUGAUCCAGCCAUACCGCGUGGGUGAAGAAGGCCUUCGGGUUGUAAAGCCCUUUUGUUGGGAAAGAAAUCCAGCUGGCUAAUACCCGGUUGGGAUGACGGUACCCAAAGAAUAAGCACCGGCUAACUUCGUGCCAGCCGCCGCCGUAA
rnacentral:rRNA from 1 species